UCUGACUAAAAUGGGAACCACCGAGG
rnacentral:piRNA from 1 species